AACGACUAUGGCGAUGGAGCUCGCCAAAACCGCCUCUUCAGUAAAAGAUUUAUAACUGCAAGGCUGAUGGCUCCUACUUUUCC
rnacentral:ncRNA from 2 species